GUGCUCUCUUCAGCAACACAUUUACUAAAAUUAGAAUGAUAGAAGAUUCACACAGCCCGUGCAUAAGGAUGGCAUGCAGAUUUUUGAAGCGUUCCAGAUUUUU
ensembl:snRNA U6 U6 spliceosomal RNA